rnacentral:lncRNA from 1 species
CCUCCCCCCACUUUGCCCCUGCCACACCUUGUCUGUGUCUUUAAUACAUCCUUAUUGUCCACUUCUCCAUGCCCCCACCCACCGAAAAACCUUGUAAUGACGACUCGGAGACUUUGAUUCAGUUGCAAAUCUGAAGCUGGCAUUAGUGGACCUCAUGCUGUGAAAAAAAGAAAGUGUUUCAAGGCCUUGCCCCCGCAGCCUCCCCACCACCGCCUUCCAUCCCUGUUGGGUUGUUUGUGCAUGUGUGUUUCUCCCCGUUUCCUGCCUUUUCGUAGAUAUAAAGGCCGUUCUGGUGUCACUAAAAAUGACUAUAGUGUCCAGUGUCU